UGCAGCCCUGUCAAAUUCGGUGCCUGCCCCAUCCAUGGCAGACACUGGCCCAAAAGGCUGCCAUAGAAACACUGUGACUCAUGGGCCCUGAUCCCCUCUGCUGGGCCUCAGGGAUAAAUUUGGUUACAGACACCA
rnacentral:snoRNA from 1 species